GGGUGAGUGCCAUGACGCAUGAACAGGUGAGCUGCAGCGCUGACCUGGCCACCGACUGUAAGGUCCCAGAGACUACAGAAUCUACGGCUUCCUCUGUGGGGAACUGCGAAGCCGCCGCUAAGUCACCAGAGCUGGAGCCCAGAGACAAUGACAGCACCUGUGUGUUCUGCCGGAUCGCAGGGCGGCAGGACCCGGGCACCGAACUCCUGCACUGCGAGAAUGAGGACCUAGUUUGCUUCAAAGAUAUCAAACCAGCAGCAACUCAUCAUUAUCUUAUGGUGCCAAAGAAGCAUAUUGGAAAUUGCAGAUCUCUAAGGAAAGAUCAAGUAGAACUGGUUAAGAACAUAGUAACUGUUGGAAAAACCAUUCUUGAAAGGAAUAAUUUCAGACUUCAUGAAUGUAAUGAUGGGUUUUCAUAUGCCUCCGUUCUGUUCCAUUUCCCACUUGCACCUCUGGCACCAGUGGAUCAGCUUGGCUCCUUAUCCAAGUUGGUUUAUAGAGUCAAUUCCUAUGGGUUUAUCACAGCUGAUCAUUUGAUUGAAAAACUAAGAACAUGAAAAUGUCAACAGUGGAAGGUUUUUCUAAUUUUGGCUCAGCAUGAAGUAAUGUUUAGGUCCCUUUUAAGUCUAAUUGCAAUUUUAAGGUUUGUUGGGUUUUAUGAGAGGCUAUUACUGAGUGGCCUUAAAUAUUUUCUGAAUGUCUGUUUCCUGAGAUCUGUGAUACAGUUAGAAUAAUAUUUUUUUACUGACUUCUUUGUUUCAAUGAUUACUUGUUUAAGGAUUUUAUAUAUAUGAUACUAUAGAUAAAAUCCUAUUUAAGACAAAGUCUGUUAAUCAAGAAGGGCUCUGUAUUUUUUUUAAGUUAAAAUGUUUUCAUUUCUCAGUAGUCAAUUAUAAUAGUGAUGUAUUUAUGAAGAAUAAACUACUAUAGAAAGUAC